rnacentral:rRNA from 1 species
UACGGAGGGUGCGAGCGUUGUCCGGAAUCAUUGGGCGUAAAGGGCGCGUAGGUGGCCCGGUCAGCGUGCGGUGAAAGCUCGGGGCUCAACCCCGAGUCGGCCGUGCGAACUGCUGGGCUUGAGCACUGUAGAGGCAGGCGGAAUUCCGGGUGUAGCGGUGGAAUGCGUAGAGAUCCGGAAGAACACCGGUGGCGAAGGCGGCAUCCUGGACCAAAACUGACGCUGAAUAGCGAAAGCCAGGGGAGCAAACGGG